AAGCCUGAUGCAGCCAUGCCGCGUGUAUGAAGAAGGCCUUCGGGUUGUAAAGUACUUUCAGUUGUGAGGAAGGGUGUGUAGUUAAUAGCUGCGCAUCUUGACGUUAGCAACAGAAGAAGCACCGGCUAACUCCGUGCCAGCAGCCGGGUAAUACGGAGGGUGCGAGCGUUAAUCGGAAUUACUGGGCGUAAAGCGCAUGCAGGUGGUUCAUUAAGUCAGAUGUGAAAGCCCGGGGCUCAACCUCGGAACUGCAUUUGAAACUGGUGAACUAGAGUGCUGUAGAGGGGGGUAGAAUUUCAGGUGUAGCGGUGAAAUGCGUAGAGAUCUGAAGGAAUACCAGUGGCGAAGGCGGCCCCCUGGACAGACACUGACACUCAGAUGCGAAAGCGUGGGGAGCAAACAGGAUUAGAUACCCUGGUAGUCCACGCCGUAAACGAUGUCUACUUGGAGGUUGUGG
rnacentral:rRNA from 1 species